rnacentral:lncRNA from 1 species
UUACACUCUAGAAAGAUAAAUAAUCUUCCCAAAUUCCCAAGAUGGUGCACCAGGCCCCCUGUGAUGGGCCCUGCCUCCUCUUCAGUCUCAUUGCUCUACAUUCCCCACAGCCUUUGUGUUCUUUUUUUUGAGACUCCUACCACCUCAGAGCCUUUGCACCUUCUGUUCCAUCAGCCUGAAUUACUCUGCACCGUUGCCUCCUUAGCAACUCCGCAUACUUCAGGUCUCAGCUUAAACCCCUCUUCUUAAAAGGAUUCCCUCUCAAUCCCAAAGAUUAGGUCAGGUUCCACCUGUUACAUCGCAUCACAGCCCCCUCUGCUUUUAAUUCUUGUAAUUAUUUGAUUAAUCCACCGGCUCCUUAAGGACAUCAGUAAUGCUUUUGUUGUUUCCCACUGUAUUCCCAGCACACAACAGGUGCUCACCAAAUACUCUGAAGUGAAUGAAGAUUAUAAAUUUUUUAUUAAAGCAAAAACUGGGGUAUGUUAGUCCCUAGUCUUCCAAGCAGACAUCAAGACAGGUUUACACCUGCCAGGAUUUUAUUAGGGGGAAGGCAUACGAAAAAAAAUGGAGAGGAAACUAGGAGAGUCGUCAGACUGUGAGGCAAGUCUGACCCUAGAGUGAAGAAGGGAAGAAAGGAAGGUUCGGAAGACCGUCCUCUACAUUCUAGCUCAGUCCAAGAGAGGUUCGGCGAGGCCAUCGAGGAACCCACCAGCCAAAGCUGAAGGUCAGAGGAGUGCCCUGUCUCCCGGGAACCCACGCUUUGGCAUCACCACCGCACGCACUCAUUCGCUCGGAGCGCCAUGGGAGGCGUGGUCCGGCAGCUGCGGCACUCACUCAUUGGCUGGGAGCACCGUGGGAGGGGUGGUCUGGCAGCUGGGGAGUGCAGUUCAGGGCUGGCCGCAGCCCAGCGAUCAUCAUUUAUGCUCCAUGGAGGAGGAAGUCUCCUUCUUCUGGCUGCCAUGUGGGCGUUCAGAGGCGAGAGGAGGUGACUUCUUGUUUAUAGGGAGGAGAAAAAUUACUAAAGAAUCGUGAGAAAGAAGAGGAAACAGAUUUUCCAGGUGAAGAGGCAGCGUUUGAUCCCGGACUCAAUGCUGGUCGUCAGAGAAAGGGGUGAAAGAGUCUCCCGACUGAGAAAGCAGCACGUGCAGCCGCGGAGUGUGAUCGCCCGGCUGUAGGGGGACAAGUGCUAUCAAAAUGAUGUCCUUAACGUGGAGUUGGGAAGAGUUGCGUGGAAUUGGCGCUCACCAGCUGCUACGAGCCAGCCCCAGACAUUCACUCACGGCCCAUCGAUUCUCAGAUCUCAGGAAGAAGAAGCAAGCCAGCACACUUUCCCACAAAUGGUGAUGGCUUUCAGUGUCAUGCAAAGCCACGCUGGAGCCUAAGGCAAAGACAAAGUCGCUAAUACUAAUCCUGUCUUCAUUUAAAACUUUGAAAGUUGGUUUAUCAUGGAUUUUUUGCAUCAGUUUUGAUUUUUUAAAAUAUUGCCUUAAAUCUUUAUUCCGCCUCCUUUUUAUUCUCCUCCUUCUAUUUUUCUUCUCCCUUUUCUUUUCUUCCCCCUCCCCCCUCUUUUUUAUUUUGCUAUUUAUAGUAGAAUGGUUAAGCCACCAGAGCCAGACCACACAGGUUCAAAUUAGCAAAUGGCUCUGUCACUUAAUAACCGUAUGACUCUGAGCACGUUGCUGACAUAUAGGUGCUUGCUAUUUUAUAUAUGUGUACUUUUUUUUGCUAAAUAUAUGUAUAAUAUAAAUAUAAAUAUGCUAACAAAUAUUGAGUGUUUAUGUUGAGCACUUGACUAAUCAUUUUAUAUACAUUAUCUCAUUUAAUCUACACAUGUGCACACACACAGAACAUGAGGUUUAUGGAUGAGGAAACUGAGGCCCAAAGAGAUUGAAGACCACACCCGGAGUCACACAGCUAGCUAGUGGUGGGGCCGAGAUGCAUGCUCAAGUCGGUCUGAUUCUAGAGCCUGCCCUCUUAAACCUCAUGUUGCACGUAUUUUGGGAACCAAGCCCGUGCACCACUUCCUCGUGGGCAGUGUGGAGGGUCCGCUUUAGGGCACGUGUCACCACGAAGGUCUCAAGGAACCGCUGGUGAACUCCUGUGAGCCAUGCCCAGGGCCAGCACCCAGCCCUGGGCUUCCCUUUCAGGCCGGCGCCCACCGUCACCAGGCAAAGCGGGAAAGUCUGGAAUUAAUUAAGGGGAAUUAUGCUUCCUGUACAGAGUUAUUGGGAAGAGAUGAAAUCUCUGCCUGCCAAUGUUGUUUUAAAGGGGAAAUGGGAGAGAUAUAGUGAUAAGUGCUCUGGAAGAUCCACAGUUGCUCGAAUAUUCUUCCACGAGUUAGAAAUCUUACUUAGAAAAUUC